rnacentral:rRNA from 1 species
GACGAACGCUGGCGGCGUGCUUAACACAUGCAAGUCGAACGGAAAGGCCCUGCUUUUGUGGGGUGCUCGAGUGGCGAACGGGUGAGUAACACGUGAGUAACCUGCCCUUGACUUUGGGAUAACUUCAGGAAACUGGGGCUAAUACCGGAUAGGAGCUCCUGCUGCAUGGUGGGGGUUGGAAAGUUUCGGCGGUUGGGGAUGGACUCGCGGCUUAUGAGCUUGGUGGUGGGGUAGUGGCUUACCAAGGCUUUGACGGGUAGCCGGCCUGAGAGGGGGACCGGCCACAUUGGGACGGGGAUACGGCCCGGAGUCGUACGGGAGGCAGGAGUGGGGAAUAUUGCACAAUGGGCGGGAGCCUGGUGCAGCAACGCCGCGUGCGGGAUGACGGCCUUCGGGGUGGAAACCGCUUUCGCCUGGGACGAAGCGUGAGUGACGGUAAUGGGUAAAGAAGCACCGGCUAACUACGUG